rnacentral:rRNA from 1 species
AAAGGAAUUGACGGGGACCCGCACAAGCGGUGGAGCAUGUGGAUUAAUUCGAAGCAACGCGAAGAACCUUACCAGUCCUUGACAUCCUGAUGACCGGUCCUUAACCGGACCUUCUCUUCGGAGCAGCAGAGACAGGUGGUGCAUGGUUGUCGUCAGCUCGUGUCGUGAGAUGUUGGGUUAAGUCCCGCAACGAGCGCAACCCCUAUUACUAGUAGCCAGCAUUACGGAUGGGAACUCUAGUGAGACUGCCGGGGAUAACCCGGAGGAAGGUGGGGACGACGUCAAAUCAUCAUGCCCCUUAUGGGCUGGGCCUCACACGUGCUACAAUGGUGCCAACAAAGUGACGCGACCCUGUGAAGGCAAGCAAAUCACAAAAAUGGCAUCUCAGUUCGGAUUGUAGUCUGCAACUCGACUACAUGAAGCUGGAAUCGCUAGUAAUCGCGAAUCAGAAUGUCGCGGUGAAUACGUUCCCGGGUCUUGUACACACCGCCCGU